rnacentral:rRNA from 1 species
AGGACGAACGCUGGCGGCGUGCUUAACACAUGCAAGUCGAGCGGUAAGGCCCUUUCGGGGGUACACGAGCGGCGAACGGGUGAGUAACACGUGAGCAAUCUGCCCUUCACUUCGGGAUAAGCCUCGGAAACGGGGUCUAAUACCGGAUAUGACCGCGCUACGCAUGUGGUGUGGUGGAAAGUUCUGGCGGUGGAGGAUGAGCUCGCGGCCUAUCAGCUUGUUGGUGGGGUAAUGGCCUACCAAGGCUUCGACGGGUAGCCGGCCUGAGAGGGUGACCGGCCACACUGGGACUGAGACACGGCCCAGACUCCUACGGGAGCAGCAGUGGGGAAUA